rnacentral:rRNA from 1 species
UUGACAUCCAGAGAACUUAGCAGAGAUGCUUUGGUGCCUUCGGGAACUCUGAGACAGGUGCUGCAUGGCUGUCGUCAGCUCGUGUUGUGAAAUGUUGGGUUAAGUCCGCAACGAGCGCAACCCUUAUCCUUUGUUGCCAGCGGUUCGGCCGGGAACUCAAAGGAGACUGCCGGUGAUAAACCGGAGGAAGGUGGGGAUGACGUCAAGUCAUCAUGGCCCUUACGGCCAGGGCUACACACGUGCUACAAUGGCGCAUACAAAGAGAAGCGACCUCGCGAGAGCAAGCGGACCUCAUAAAGUGCGUCGUAGUCCGGAUUGGAGUCUGCAACUCGACUCCAUGAAGUCGGAAUCGCUAGUAAUCGUAGAUCAGAAUGCUACGGUGAAUACGUUCCCGGGCCUUGUACACACCGCCCGUCACACCAUGGGAGUGGGUUGCAAAAGAAGUAGGUAGCUUAACCUUCGGGAGGGCGCUUACCACUUUGUGAUUCAUGACUGGGGUGAAGUCGUAACAAGGUAAGCGUACGUGU